rnacentral:rRNA from 1 species
AUUGAACGCUGGCGGCAGGCCUAACACAUGCAAGUCGAGCGGAGCGGGGACGGGUGAGUAACACGUGGAUAACCUCCUAUAAGACUGGGAUAACUUCGGGAAACCGGAGCUAAACCGGAUACUUAUCGAUGGAUCCGCGCUGCAUUAGCUAGUUGGUAAGGUAACGGCUUACCAAGGCAACGAUGCAUAGCCGACCUGAGAGGGUGAUCGGCCACACUGGAACUGAGACACGGUCCAGACUCCUACGGGAGGCAGAAGUAGGGAAGCUUCCGAAAUGGGCGAAAGCCUGACGGAGAAACGCCGCGUGAGUGAUGAAGGUCGUCGGAUCGUAAAACUCUGUUAUUAGGGAAGCGGUACCUAAUCAGAAAGCCACGGCUAACUACGUGCCAGCCGCCGCGGUAAUAC